UGGAGAAGUAGGAAGAGAACACUGGUUCUGGUCGCAGUGAAGUCGAUGGGAAUUUGGAGGUUUUGCGGAAAUGCAGAUGAUUACGUUCAGCAAAAAAAAGGACCCCAGGAUAAAUGUGAAUUCUUUGCUCAAAGGAAAUCUUCCCCUUUGUUUACCACACAUCAGGCUGUUAGGUAAAAGAAAUACGUCAUCACCCCACAUCAGUCUUGGUUCAGCUCAAACUUGGACUUUGCAUGCAUCAACCAAACCAUGGAAGAAGUGAUGAUGGAGAAAAUCAGUCAGUCACCUUACUAGGCCUCUCAACUCUAACGCCACUGAUCCACUCCAACUUUUGCUUCCUGCUUCUAUAAUGAAGUAACACAUAGCAACCUAAGAUACUGAGUCCUGCUACUUGCGACUGCAAAACCCAGAAAACAAGAAGCAUCCACAGGUCUGAUACCUCAUAUUUUUCUCUAGUUUUGUUGGGAAUUUCAAUAUUCCAUCAUGCGAUGUUGAUAGAGGAGAGCGAUCUGUUCAGCAGUACUGCCUGAAGCAACCACAUUAUUCUACCAGCCUUCCAUAUUCAUGGAUUCAAGAAGGCUCUGCUUCCAUCUGCAGCAUGCAACGUUUCAUUCA